rnacentral:snoRNA from 1 species
AAUCCAAAUGAUGAACUAGGAUUUAAAAUCUCACGACGGUCGUCUGAGACAAGAUUUCUUGUCGCCAUUGAUGCAGUUAUAAUCCAAUUUCUCUGAUGGUU